AUGAGGACCGGUCCGCGCGCACAGGGGGAGGGCGGAGGGGACGAUUUGAGCGGGGCGCACAAGGCGCUCUCCGCCCGCAGCAGCGCAGCGCCGCACGGACCGCGCAGCCCAACGCGCGCGGCCCCGCUCGCAGCCGGGGGCACAGAGACGUUCCGAACCUUUCGGCGUCGGAAAACCACGGAGCUGCCACCGCGGCUCCCGAAUCCCCCUCGGUACCGCCCCGCAGCCGGGGAUGCUCCGCUCCCACCUGCGCCCACCCCCCACAGGUGUUUUUUAUUAGCGCUUGCUCCGAAACGAUCCCACUCCCACUUUAAAACCCUAUGGAUAAUAACACACGCGAACAUAGGUGCGGGUAUUUCCAACGCGGCACGGCAGCACCUCCCCCAGCCCCACCGCGGCUCCACUCCGCACACGCGGCCGCACCGCGCCUCCCUCCCAAAGCCCUAUAGCCCCUAUGGGGCUGUCCCCUCCCGGCCCAGCCCGGCCCGGCUCGCACUGACCCGGUGCGGCGGGCGCGGACGGCCGCGCCUCUCCGCAGGGCCCGCAUGCCGCGCAGCGCAGGGGCCGAGCUCCGCGCCGCUCCGCGCCGCUCCGCGCGCCGGGAAUGCGCCGGCGAUGAGGCACAACCGAAGAUCGGUUGCAUCCCAGCGAUGUGUUUUGAACGCAAAAUAUACUUGCACACGUCGUAAUUUUUGCUCAAACGUUUUCCAAGACCCGUAAUUGCCAUCUCAGGCCAAGCGCAAAACUCAAACUAAGCAGAUUUCUGCCAGAGCAAUGAGUCCAUCAAGAAGGAGAGGCUUUUCCCCCGACCCGCUGUUGUUUUAAACGCCCAAAGAACUGCUUUCAGCAUCAACCGGUGCUCGCCUGCUGGAGACAGACACCGCUGUGGGGCAGUGCGAGGCUGGAGGUGUGCGCAGUGGCGUGCUGUGUGCUGCAGCGAUCGCUCUGCAGCUCUGCCUGAGGGAUGAAGGGAAAACAGCACCAAAACACGCGUUGAAUAAAAUCCCUCUGUACAGAGCA
rnacentral:lncRNA from 1 species